AACCAGUGCUAGGGGAGCCGCGGAUCGUAAGGUUUGGCGGCUGAGAGUGGGAUAAACCCAGACCCUAUGAACCUGACGCAGUUCGCACUGCCGUAGGGAAGCCGCGGCCACGACGC
rnacentral:ncRNA from 1 species